GUUCUGUUUGUAAUGCGGUGCCGUUUUUGGUUCUCCGG
rnacentral:sRNA from 1 species